UUAAGCGACUAAGCGUACACGGUGGAUGCCCUGGCAGUCAGAGGCGAUGAAGGGCGUGCUAAUCUGCGAUAAGCGCCGGUAAGGUGAUAUGAACCGUUAUAACCGGCGAUACCCGAAUGGGGAAACCCAGUGUGACUCGUCACACUAUCAUUAACUGAAUCCAUAGGUUAAUGAGGCGAACCGGGGGAACUGAAACAUCUAAGUACCCCGAGGAAAAGAAAUCAACCGAGAUUCCCCCAGUAGCGGCGAGCGAACGGGGAGGAGCCCAGAGCCUGAAUCAGCAUGUGUGUUAGUGGAAGCGUCUGGAAAGGCGCGCGAUACAGGGUGACAGCCCCGUACACAAAAGCGCAUGUGCUGUGAGCUCGAUGAGUAGGGCGGGACACGUGGUAUCCUGUCUGAAUAUGGGGGGACCAUCCUCCAAGGCUAAAUACUCCUGACUGACCGAUAGUGAACCAGUACCGUGAGGGAAAGGCGAAAAGAACCCCGGCGAGGGGAGUGAAAAAGAACCUGAAACCGUGUACGUACAAGCAGUGGGAGCACCCUUUGGGUGUGACUGCGUACCUUUUGUAUAAUGGGUCAGCGACUUAUAUUCUGUAGCAAGGUUAACCGAAUAGGGGAGCCGGAGGGAAACCGAGUCUUAAUUGGGCGUUAAGUUGCAGGGUAUAGACCCGAAACCCGGUGAUCUAGCCAUGGGCAGGUUGAAGGUUGGGUAACACUAACUGGAGGACCGAACCGACUAAUGUUGAAAAAUUAGCGGAUGACCUGUGGCUGGGGGUGAAAGGCCAAUCAAACCGGGAGAUAGCUGGUUCUCCCCGAAAGCUAUUUAGGUAGCGCCUCGUGAAUUCAUCUCCGGGGGUAGAGCACUGUUUCGGCUAGGGGGCCAUCCCGGCUUACCAACCCGAUGCAAACUGCGAAUACCGGAGAAUGUUAUCACGGGAGACACACGGCGGGUGCUAACGUCCGUCGUGAAGAGGGAAACAACCCAGACCGCCAGCUAAGGUCCCAAAGUCAUGGUUAAGUGGGAAACGAUGUGGGAAGGCCCAGACAGCCAGGAUGUUGGCUUAGAAGCAGCCAUCAUUUAAAGAAAGCGUAAUAGCUCACUGGUCGAGUCGGCCUGCGCGGAAGAUGUAACGGGGCUAAACCAUGCACCGAAGCUGCGGCAGCGACACUGUGUGUUGUUGGGUAGGGGAGCGUUCUGUAAGCCUGUGAAGGUGUGUCGUGAGGCAUGCUGGAGGUAUCAGAAGUGCGAAUGCUGACAUAAGUAACGAUAAAGCGGGUGAAAAGCCCGCUCGCCGGAAGACCAAGGGUUCCUGUCCAACGUUAAUCGGGGCAGGGUGAGUCGACCCCUAAGGCGAGGCCGAAAGGCGUAGUCGAUGGGAAACGGGUUAAUAUUCCCGUACUUGGUGUUACUGCGAAGGGGGGACGGAGAAGGCUAUGUUGGCCGGGCGACGGUUGUCCCGGUUUAAGCGUGUAGGUGUGUGUUCCAGGUAAAUCCGGUUCACUUUAACACUGAGGCGUGACGACGAGGCACUACGGUGCUGAAGCAACAAAUGCCCUGCUUCCAGGAAAAGCCUCUAAGCAUCAGGUAACAUCAAAUCGUACCCCAAACCGACACAGGUGGUCAGGUAGAGAAUACCAAGGCGCUUGAGAGAACUCGGGUGAAGGAACUAGGCAAAAUGGUGCCGUAACUUCGGGAGAAGGCACGCUGACACGUAGGUGAAGUGAUUUACUCAUGGAGCUGAAGUCAGUCGAAGAUACCAGCUGGCUGCAACUGUUUAUUAAAAACACAGCACUGUGCAAACACGAAAGUGGACGUAUACGGUGUGACGCCUGCCCGGUGCCGGAAGGUUAAUUGAUGGGGUCAGCGCAAGCGAAGCUCCUGAUCGAAGCCCCGGUAAACGGCGGCCGUAACUAUAACGGUCCUAAGGUAGCGAAAUUCCUUGUCGGGUAAGUUCCGACCUGCACGAAUGGCGUAAUGAUGGCCAGGCUGUCUCCACCCGAGACUCAGUGAAAUUGAACUCGCUGUGAAGAUGCAGUGUACCCGCGGCAAGACGGAAAGACCCCGUGAACCUUUACUAUAGCUUGACACUGAACAUUGAGCCUUGAUGUGUAGGAUAGGUGGGAGGCUUUGAAGUGUGGACGCCAGUCUGCAUGGAGCCGACCUUGAAAUACCACCCUUUAAUGUUUGAUGUUCUAACGUGGACCCGUUACCCGGGUUGCGGACAGUGUCUGGUGGGUAGUUUGACUGGGGCGGUCUCCUCCUAAAGAGUAACGGAGGAGCACGAAGGUUGGCUAAUCCUGGUCGGACAUCAGGAGGUUAGUGCAAUGGCAUAAGCCAGCUUGACUGCGAGCGUGACGGCGCGAGCAGGUGCGAAAGCAGGUCAUAGUGAUCCGGUGGUUCUGAAUGGAAGGGCCAUCGCUCAACGGAUAAAAGGUACUCCGGGGAUAACAGGCUGAUACCGCCCAAGAGUUCAUAUCGACGGCGGUGUUUGGCACCUCGAUGUCGGCUCAUCACAUCCUGGGGCUGAAGUAGGUCCCAAGGGUAUGGCUGUUCGCCAUUUAAAGUGGUACGCGAGCUGGGUUUAGAACGUCGUGAGACAGUUCGGUCCCUAUCUGCCGUGGGCGCUGGAGAACUGAGGGGGGCUGCUCCUAGUACGAGAGGACCGGAGUGGACGCAUCACUGGUGUUCGGGUUGUCAUGCCAAUGGCACUGCCCGGUAGCUAAAUGCGGAAGAGAUAAGUGCUGAAAGCAUCUAAGCACGAAACUUGCCCCGAGAUGAGUUCUCCCUGAGACUUAGAGUCUCCUGAAGGAACGUUGAAGACGACGACGUUGAUAGGCCGGGUGUGUAAGCGCAGCGAUGCGUUGAGCUAACCGGUACUAAUGAACCGUGAGGCUUAACCUU
rnacentral:rRNA from 1 species